CCUACGGGAGGCAGCAGUAGGGAAUAUUGCUCAAUGGGCGAAACCCUGAACCAGCAACGCCGCGUGAGGGAUGAAGGUUUUCGGAUUGUAAACUCCUUUUGUUAGAGAAGAUAAUGACGGUAUCUAACGAAUAAGCACCGUCUAAAUCCCUUCCAGCAUCCGCGGUAAUACGUAGGUUGCAAGCGUUACGCGGAAUCGAUGGGCGUAAACGGCGCGUAGGCGGGAUAGCAAGUCAGCUGUGAAAUGCUCGUGGUUAAACAUAGAACUGCAUUUGAAACUGUUAGUCUAGAGUGUGUGAGAGGUAGGUGGAAUUCUUGGUGUAGGGGUAAAAUCCGUAGAGAUCAAGAGGAAUACUGAUUGCGAAGGCGGCCUGCUAGCACAUAACUGACGCUGAGGCGCGAAAGCGUGGGGAGCAAACAGGAUUAGAUACCCCUGUAGUC
rnacentral:rRNA from 1 species